UCCAAAUGAAAUAUUAUAAUAAUACUCGGUAUCAAACGAAACUUUUAGCUUAAUAAGAACUUCUUAGGGUGAGUACGCGAGCACCCUUGCCAGCACGUCGAUUCUCUGAGUUAUUUCAGUUUGAAAACUUGGCGCAGACGUGCCCUUAACUUUCUGCUUCGAAAUAACUAAUUCAAUUAGUAUAUCAGCGCUGCUACAUCCUUCUCUUCUACGUUUAACUACAUCUUUGCACGGUGUAUCUAAUCUUCGUGCUAACGCUAACUCUCGUAUUGCUAAUCUUCUGGUAUUUUUCGGUUCGAGAAAUAGAAUAAAAUUGAAAUUGGAUAUAAAUGAGUUAAAUAUUUUUCAUUUCGAUCGAUAUUAUAUGGAAAUACAUAUUUUCAACUAUGGAAAGGGGAAAGCUAACAACGGAACUGCCUUGUUCUCGGUCUCCCAGGGAUUUUAACGAGAUUCAGAGCGAUUUUAACUUUUCAAGGACUUUCAACAUAAGUUCUAGACACUUGAAGAAAGAAGUGUACUCUCACGUUGGAUUGUAUCAAUGUCGAUAGAAGAAUAGAAAGGAAAGAAAGAAAAAAAAGAAAAAGAAGAGAGAAAGAAAUAAAAAAAAAAAGCGGAACUAUUUCGAUCGACUAUAAAUCAAAACGAUUCUUUUUGCGAGUAUAUUUCAAUCUUUAAUCAGCUCUAAUUAUUGAGAUAUGAGGUAAUCGAGUGAAUCUCUCCUUUCAUGAUAUUUAAGAGUUUCGACGCGUCUUCAUCAUUCACGACCUCUACUCGCUCUUCGUUAAAUGAUAUAUAGUCUUCGAAGCCGGAUACAAUCCGCGCGAGUCACUCAAAAAUCUCAUUCCAUGUAAAGUCGAUGACAUUUUUCUUCGUUCUGGACCCGAUAACGCGCAAUAAAUGUUCGCACCGGAUGAAUACAAACGUUGCACAAUUUUGACGAAGUAUUCACUAUUUGCUUACAACAUCGAUCCGUUGGCAGUGAGCAGAAUAAAUCUUUUUUUUCCGCAUUUUAAAUAUAGAACGAGAGAAAUGAACUACGAUAUUGAUCAUGAUCUUGAAUACAUGGAAUUAAAAAAAUGCAAGUAUUUUUUAUUUUCAUUCGAAAUUAAUUAAAAUUUUUCUCUCGAUAUAA